AGGAAAAAACACAAGCUUUGGAUAACACUUGCCCCUACAAUGUCUACACCAAUUCUUGAUAAAAAUCAGAAUGCUGAUGCUCAGACAUAGACUAGAACUCAAGUUCUUCCACCUAAUGUGACACAACAAGAUGAUAAACAGGGUGUGUAUAACACACAUUCCCCUCCAAUCUCUUCACUAAUUUCACUAAUUCUCGAUCAAAAUCAGAAUUCUUUGGUAAGAAAAAAUAUUUAAAAUAUUUUUAUAAUAUUUUUCUAUUUAACUAACUCUUACAAUUUCCUUUUUUCAUAUAGGCUGAGACACAGACUGAGACCCAUUUUUUUCCAUAAGAUAGAGAGAGCCAUCGGAUGAGACGCCUUCUCAGCCGAAUCAAGCAGAAGAAAAUCUUAACGAUGAGGUAAGAUUUAUUCUUAAAUUAUAGUUGAAUGUAUUUUGGAAGAAAAACUAUUGUUAUUUAUAUCAUUAUAAACAUGUUUUUCCAGGAUACUACAGAGCCUACAGCAUUAUGAACAUGUUUUUGUAGGAUGCUACAGAUCCUUUGAUUGUGAUCAUUUCGCCAAACAAUAAAAAGGUAAACACAUGUAAUUUUGAAAGAUUUUGUACUUGUUCAUGAUCCCCUUCAUGAUAUUUUUUGUAGAUGAGAACAUAGGCAACGAAUGAGACACAUGCCUCUCCAAUGGCUCAACCGAGUACUGAGACUCCAGUUUUGCUCCAAAUCAGACGCAACAAAUGGAAACAGAGGCAACGAAUGAGACACCAGCAUCUCCAAUAGCUCAACCGAGUACUGAGACUCCAUUAUUUUACUCCAAAUCAGAUGCAACAGUUUUUAAACUCCAAUAGCUCAACCGAGUACCUGUCUUUGCAGAUGCUUGUCUGUGGUUCGCAUUCUGUUGUAUCACAUGUAUGCUCAUGCACAUAUUUCUUAACCACAAAAAAAAAUCUGAACAAGACAACUUAGUGGCACGCAUUCUCCACGAGCAAUUGUCACCAACACACCGCAAUACAACUCUUGACUUGUUAGACUAGACAGUCUUGUACUCAAACUUCCACUCUAAAAGCCCAUUUCUUCAUCCUAAACAUUAACUCUCCCUUGCUCUUAAAAUAGCUAUUCACCUUAAUAGCGUCAUCUUCUCUCGUGGUUGGUGAAAGUCCAAUAUGGACAUGACUAAAAUCCAGAAUAGGAUUAAGAGGAACUGCAGAGAUGCCUUGGCAAGGAAGAGUCGCAAAAUUUAAG